ACUCCUACGGGAGGCAGCAGUGGGAAGUAUUGCAUCAAUGGAGGAAAGCAUCUGAUGCAGCAACGCCGCGUGGAGGAUGACACUUUUCGGAGCGUAAACUCCUUUUAUAUAGGAAGAUAAUGACGGUACUAUAUGAAUAAGCACCGGCUAACUCCGUGCCAGCAGCCGCGGUAAUACGGAGGGUGCAAGCGUUACUCGGAAUCACUGGGCGUAAAGAGCGUGUAGGCGGGUUAUUAAGUCAGAAGUGAAAUCCUAUGGCUCAACCAUAGAACUGCUUUUGAAACUGGUAACCUAGAGUAUGGGAGAGGUAGAUGGAAUUUCUGGUGUAGGGGUAAAAUCCGUAGAGAUCAGAAGGAAUACCGAUUGCGAAGGCGAUCUACUGGAACAUUACUGACGCUGAGACGCGAAAGCGUGGGGAGCAGACAGGAUUAGAUACCCUGGUAGCA
rnacentral:rRNA from 1 species